rnacentral:rRNA from 1 species
GUUGUCCGGAUUUAUUGGGCGUAAAGAGCGUGUAGGCGGCCAGGUAGGUCUGGUGUGAAAACUCGAGGCUUAACCUCGAGAUGUCAUCGGAAACCAUCUGGCUAGAGUCCGGAAGAGGAGAGUGGAAUUCCUGGUGUAGCGGUGAAAUGCGCAGAUAUCAGGAAGAACACCAAUGGCGAAAGCAGCUCUCUGGGACGGUACUGACGCUGAGACGCGAAAGCGUGGGGAGCGAACAGG